UACGUAGGGUGCGAGCGUUGUCCGGAAUUAUUGGGCGUAAAGAGCUCGUAGGCGGUGUGUCGCGUCGGUCGUGAAAACUUGGGGCUUAACCCUGAGCUUGCGGUCGAUACGGGCAUCACUGGAGUUCGGCAGGGGAGACUGGAAUUCCUGGUGUAGCGGUGAAAUGCGCAGAUAUCAGGAGGAACACCGGUGGCGAAGGCGGGUCUCUGGGCUGAAACUGACGCUGAGGCGCGAAAGCGUGGGGAGCAAACAGG
rnacentral:rRNA from 1 species